rnacentral:rRNA from 1 species
GAUGAACGCUGGCGGCGUGCCUAAUACAUGCAAGUCGAGCGAAUGGAUUGAGAGCUUGCUCUUAUGAAGUUAGCGGCGGACGGGUGAGUAACACGUGGGUAACCUGCCCAUAAGACUGGGAUAACUCCGGGAAACCGGGGCUAAUACCGGAUAACAUUUUGAACAGCAUGGUUCGAAAUUGAAAGGCGGCUUCGGCUGUCACUAAUGGAUGGACCAGCGUCGCAUUAGCUAGUUGGUGAGGUAACGGCUCACCAAGGCAACGAUGCGUAGCCGACCUGAGAGGGUGAUCGGCCACACUGGGACUGAGACACGGCCCAGACUCCUACGGGAGGCAGCAGUAGGGAAUCUUCCGCAAUGGACGAAAGUCUGACGGAGCAACGCCGCGUGAGUGAUGAAGGCUUUCGGGUCGUAAAACUCUGUUGUUAGGGAAGAACAAGUGCUAGUUGAAUAAGCUGGCACCUUGACGGUACCUAACCAGAAAGCCACGGCUAACUACGUGCCAGCCGCCGCAGUAA